CUAGCAUUAUUGCUGUUAUUCUCAGGUGCUCUUAAGCCACCAAGUGCCCAGGCACCCGUUCCAGGAGCUUUGCCUGUGUUAACAUACCCUCGCCUACUGGAGCCGGUAGCCACGAGUGGCCGUUUUGCAGGAUACUGACAGCUUUUUACAAUUAAACACAUGGCUCUCUGAGCAAACAGAGUAUUGCCUAAGAAGAGUUUGGCAAGUGUAAGACAAGCAUGUUACUGAAAGACUGAAUAUCCUUUCCUCCUCUUCUUUCUCAAGUUUUAUUAGUCACAGAUGAUUUGCUUUCUGUGGACCAUUCAUGUUUUAUAAUUUCUCCCAAUAACGUUCAGCUUGUAAGCUAUCUAGUACAUGACUCUUUAAAAAGGGGCCACAUUUGACGCCUACAGCCCCAACCAGGGAUGAAUCUUCUCAGUUACCCUUAGCCAGUCCCUUUGAAGGGUUUUCUGAUCCAACAGUCAUUCACUGGAAACUGAGGGAAAGAUAUCAGAAGCACGAUUCACAAUAACUUCAAAGGAACAGCAGCGUGGGUUAUAUCACUGAGAUACCAAGCAGUAAUAUGUGUCCAGUUCAGCAAACCAGCUCUCCACGCCUGGGAUGGGAGGCAACCCGAGAGAGAGUAGGUGCAAGACCAACAACUUGAGCUGCCUGCAGGCUCGGGAAGAUCUGCAAACACCGGUUCCCUAGCCCAAAGCUGCCAUGACGUUAGGCAUCCUUAAUGAAGACGCCACACCUGGAACAAGUGGCAAAGCUGGAUUGAAGAGGAAUUUGGCACAACCUCUGCCAUUCUUUCCUGAGCAAAGACCGCUGGAUCCCCCUGGUGAGUUUCCCAGUGAAGCACAGCUCUGUCUGAUCGGGGUCAACUACAAAAGGUCUCUGACUCGUGCCACAACUUUCCUUCCUUCCCAUUUCUCAAUGUGCCUGAAGAGUGAAUCUUCCUUUGGUGGAAAGACAAUGUGUGCAUUUCAAUCCUAUUGACAUUUCCUUUUGCAAAUGACUCCAUAUCCCUUCGGAGACUUAGAAAAGAUAGAUUUUUACAAGCGGAACAGAACUUUGCAUUUGUUCAGUGCCUUCGUUUGAGACUUUCUGAAUUCUUCAAAGUAUCGGUCCUCAGAACUCUCCUCACUCUACUCUGAUAGCCACAUGAUAAGCAGUUUUCCUAGGAUUUCUGAACUAGGUUAUUUAAAGGCCAUCAGCUGCCAGAAAGUAUGCAGCAAGAUCACAGUGCCUAAUGGACUGGGCUCUACUUGAAUCCCGGAAAAUGUGGCUUGGCACCCUCCAGUGACUUAGUUAAUGGCAAGCCACAGUGCUGUAUCCAGAAGCCUACCUGGAGACAGGAACUUGGGGAAAGGUGGGCAAGACGUCCCGUGCAGGUCCCAGUUUCUUCCUCUGUCAGAGAAGGGACCUGAUUGUACCAUCAUCACUCAAGCCUCUUAUAGCUUCAGUGGUCCUGAGACCACUGAACACCUGAUGGCCAAUUUCCGCUUAGAUAUCCUAAACUUCUGUAAGCCCGGCUUGUUCCCCAAAAACCAUCUCACCACCAAAAGCAGUGAUUUCUUCUCCAGACUUUCCUGGCUUUGAAUUCGAUUUCAAACCCUAGAGUGACUUUUGAUUUCAACCCUUCCCUCCAAACUAGUGCUUCUUAAACUGUAAUGUGCAUAUGAAUCACCUGGGGAUCUUGUUAAAAUGUACACUCCGAUUCAGGAAAUCUGGGGUGAGGCCGGGCACCUGGGUGGCUCAGUCGGCUCAGGUCAUGAUCUCAUAGUUAGAGGGUUUGAGCCCCAUUUUGGGUUCUGCACUGUGCUUGGAAUUCUCUCUCUCCCUCUCUGCCCCUCCCCUGCUCGUGCUCUCUCUCUCUCUCUCUCUCUCUCUCUCUCUCUCUCUCUCUCUCUCGUCUCUCUCUCUCAAAAUAAAUAAAUAAACAUUUUUAAAAUUUUAUUUACAAAAUCUGGAUGAGGCCUGAGACUCUGCCUGUCUCACAAGUUUCCAAGUGAUGCCGAUGCUGCUGGUCCUAAGACCACUCUGACAACAAUGCCCUAAACCAACCCACCCUCAGCCUCACUCCUACCCCACCGCAUCCAGUCAGUUGCUAGCUAACUUUUAUUUUUCCCGUGAGGCAUAUCCUUAUCCAUUCUUUCCUCUCAUGCUCACUGGGCACCACCUCCCCCUCAACUCCUUACCACUUCCCACCCCCACCCAGGUUUCAUGCCUACAUGACUUUGAUAGCCAAACUGUGGGAACCCAUUCAUUAAUGAAUCAUAAAAUCCAUCUAUUGCAUAGCUAGCAGCAUUUAUAAAAGUAGAAUAGAAUAGAAUAGAAUAGAAUAGAAUAGAACAGAAAUGGGGCACCUGGGUGGCUCAGGUGGGUCAGUUAACGUCCAACUUCAGCUCAGGUCAUGAUCUCGCAGUCUGUGAGUUCGAGCCCCGUGUCGGGCUCUGUGCUGACAACUCAGAGCCUGGAGCCUGCUUCGGAUUCUGUGUCUCCCUCUCUCUCUGCCCCUACCCUGCUCAUGCUCUAUCUCUCUUACUCUCAAAAAUGAAUAAAUGUUAAAAAAAAAUUUUUUUUGAAGACCCAAUUCUGACAGAGACGCCUAGGCCUCACCUCAUUCCUACCCAGCACACACUUGAGCACAGGCUUGUCUUUCUAGACCUCUGCUGUGUCAGUCAAGCUCCUCCUUCAAAAACCUUCAGUGUUGCUUCAUUGUCCAAACGAAGCCGAGAUAUGUUAGCCUGAAUCUUGAGGCCCUUUUCAACCUAGCCUCAUGUGGCUUUCAAGCCUGAUUUCCUACUCUUUUCUACCAGGAACCAGAGCUCCUGCCCCUCUGGGCCCCUGUCUCACUGUUUCUCAAGCCUGGCUGCCACCUUCCCACCUUUACACGCAUUUCUCCCACUGCCCAGACUGCCCUUCCCUCUGCCAUCUCCUGCUGAAAUCACACCCAUCCCUCAAACCUGCUUCAGGUCCCGUUUCCCCCAUGCUGCUUUCUUCCAUGAUCAUUCCCCCUGGAAGCGGUAUCUUGUCACUGGGCCCUUCUCACACGGAGUGUACUCACUCUUCCUGCCUCAUUUUGUGGACACUCUUAUACGCACAUUACUUUCACAUCUGGACUGCAAAUUCCAAUGAAAGUUGGAGCCACUGUGUGUAUGAUUAUUACUUGGUGAGCUUGCUUGUCCUAUUUAUCCUCUCUGUUCCAUCUUCUAAAAAGUAGGAGAAGAUCAGGGCACCUGGGUGGCUCAGUCGGUUAAGCUUCCAGCUCUUGGUUUGAGCUCAGGCCGUGGUCUCCUGGUGGUAGUGAGAUCAAGCCCCAUGUCAGGCUCCAUGCUGAGUGUGCAACCUGCUUCGGAUUCUCUCUCUCUCCUUCUGCCCCUCUCUCCCGCUCAUGCACACUCCCUCUCUCUUUAAAAUAAUAA